ensembl:lncRNA
GAUUAAUCAUAGACCGAGGGGAGAGGGAAUGGAGGGAAAGAAGAAAAAAAAAACUGAGACAAACAUUUCUACCGAUCCUAAUGUUUUCUGCCGUGGACUGACUGCUGAGCUCUAUAGGCGCUGGUUUGUGGAGCAGACUGGGAGCGAGCUCAUUAAUGCAUGUGUGGAUGGAUCAGAAGAGAGACUCACUAUGUUCUCUCUUUCUUUAACAGCGGACUGAAAAAAACAUACACAAGAUGGAAGAGGGAGAUGAUAAAGGUUGUGCUGCCUUAACGGAGGCUUCUGGUUGCAAUGCUUCACUGGGCUGUAAGAAAUCACAACACUGCUGGAAAUGCACUGGGGAUUUUCAACAGCGGACUGAAAAAAACAUACACAAGAUGGAAGAGGGAGAUGAUAAAGGUUGUGCUGCCUUAACGGAGGCUUCUGGUUGCAAUGCUUCACUGGACAACAACAUAUGAUCCAAGCAACCUGUGACACAGUAAUGUGUCCCUCUGCCAGAGCAGAUCUGAUGGGCAGGACUUUCUGAGCUGAGAGUCGGCGG